rnacentral:rRNA from 1 species
AGAGUUUGAUCCUGGCUCAGGACGAACGCUGGCGGCGUGCUUAACACAUGCAAGUCGAACGGAAAGGCCCUUCGGGGUACUCGAGUGGCGAACGGGUGAGUAACACGUGGGUGAUCUGCCCUGCACUCUGGGAUAAGCCUGGGAAACUGGGUCUAAUACCGGAUAGGACCACACACUUCAUGGUGAGUGGUGCAAAGCUUUUGCGGUGUGGGAUGAGCCCGCGGCCUAUCAGCUUGUUGGUGGGGUAAUGGCCCACCAAGGCGACGACGGGUAGCCGGCCUGAGAGGGUGACCGGCCACACUGGGACUGAGAUACGGCCCAGACUCCUACGGGAGGCAGCAGUGGGGAAUAUUGCACAAUGGGCGCAAGCCUGAUGCAGCGACGCCGCGUGAGGGAUGACGGCCUUCGGGUUGUAAACCUCUUUCAGUAGGGACGAAGCGAAAGUGACGGUACCUACGGAAGAAGGACCGGCCAACUACGUGCCAGCAGCCGCGGUAAUACGUAGGGUCCGAGCGUUGUCCGGAAUUACUGGGCGUAAAGAGCUCGUAGGUGGUUUGUCGCGUUGUUCGUGAAAACUCACAGCUUAACUGUGGGCGUGCGGGCGAUACGGGCAGACUAGAGUACUGCAGGGGAGACUGGAAUUCCUGGUGUAGCGGUGGAAUGCGCAGAUAUCAGGAGGAACACCGGUGGCGAAGGCGGGUCUCUGGGCAGUAACUGACGCUGAGGAGCGAAAGCGUGGGUAGCGAACAGGAUUAGAUACCCUGGUAGUCC